GCCGAUCAGGCUGUUGGUGAGGUAAUGGCCCACCAAACCUGUUACCGGUACGGGCUCUGAGAGGAGGAGCCCGGAGAUGGGCACUGAGACAAGGGCCCAGGCCCUAUGGGGCGCAGCAGGCGCGAAACCUCUGCAAUAGGCGAAAGCCUGACAGGGUUACUCUGAGUGGUUUCCGCUAAGGGAACCUUUUGGCACCUCUACAAAUGGUGCAGAAUAAGGGGUGGGCAAGUCUGGUGUCAGCCGCCGCGGUAAUACCAGCACCCCGAGUGGUCGGGACGAUUAUUGGGCCUAAAGCAUCCGUAGCCGGUCCUGCAAGUCUUCCGUUAAAUCCAGCUGCUCAACAGAUGGGCUGCGGGGGAUACUACAGGGCUAGGAGGCGGGAGAGGCAAGCGGUACUUUAUGGGUAGGGGUAAAAUCCGUUGAUCCAUAGAAGACCACCAGUGGCGAAGGCGGCUUGCCAGAACGCGCUCGACGGUGAGGGAUGAAAGCUGGGGGAGCAAACCGGAUUAGAUACCCGGGUAGUCCCAGCUGUAAACGAUGCGGACUCGGUGAUGGGUUGGCUUCGUGCCAACCCAGUGCCGCAGGGAAGCCGUUAAGUCUGCCGCCUGGGGAGUACGGUCGCAAGACUGAAACUUAA
rnacentral:rRNA from 1 species